rnacentral:lncRNA from 13 species
GUCCUUUGUAGGGACAUAGAUGAAUCUGGAGAACAUUAUUCUCAGCAAACUGACACAAGAACAGAAAAUGAAAUACUGCAUAUUCUCACUCAUAGUGAAAUAUGAAGCCUGGUCUCCAGCUGAGAAUGAGGAUGGAGUAGGAGAAGCUGGUGGUUUUUUGAGGGACAAGAAGGUGACAUAUGGUGGUCAUUCGGACACUACAGUCUUCUGUUUCACCUUUAUAUUACUGUCUGCUUUCUCCAACAGCCAGACUUUCUGCGC